ensembl:lncRNA
AGCAAGUAAAGAGCCCAUCCGUUUCGAAAGGAUGGUAUUGUAUUCGUAUUUCAACUUUGUGAUCUUCUUAAGGACUAUAUUCAAGGAAUUCGUCCUAAAAACAUUCUCCUGUUACCCUAACUCUCUUUCAAUUUGCGUUUCGUCCUCUCUGAUGUAUAAGAAAUAAUGUAACCUCUAAUCACAGCCUUUAGAGGUUCCCAAAGGGUGGAGUCGUCAACAUCCCCCAUGUCAUUAGCGCCGAGGAAAAAGUCAAUCUGCUCCUUCAAAUACUGACAAAAAGCCUCAUCUUUCAACAAAUCGCCACGACCACCUCGAGGACACGCUACUGCCCAAUCACCACUGGGCCCAGUGGGUUGGCAUGCCAACCAACACCAUAAGUCUUUGUGUUACUGUUUGUGUCUGGUCAUCUGAUUCUACAACAGAGCUUGAUGCAAUUUAAAAUCCAAUUUGAUACAUUCAUAUGUACAAGAUUGGCAUAAACCCCUGUUAUAUUCUCAUUACCCCGGUUGUUGCUUUCGGGAUAGGAAUGAAAUGACAUCAACUACAUUGAGAUUGUAUUGCUUGUGUUUUGAUUAUCUACAUUAAAUAAGUGUGAAAGUAAAAACAGCUUGCGUAAAUUAAACAUGCUGAUGUCAAAAUAAAAGAUGUUGUUUGCGUCUCAAAUGGCAUCCUAUUUCCUAUAUAGUGCACUACCAUUGACUAGAGCCCGACUGGGAAUAGGGUGCCAUUUGGGACACUACUAUUGAGUCAUACAGUCUGUAUUGAUCAGGGCAAUCUGUCGCAUUCGACCGGAUUACAUUUGCCAUUUGAUUCCUUUUCAAUUAUCUCUGCUUUUCAUCACUCUUUCUCUCUCUCUCUCUCUCUGUCUCUGUGUGUGUGUGUGUCUGUUACAACAGGGAAAAGUAAGGGUAAAACCUUAAACAUCAAUUCCAACCUAGAUGCUGAUAGAUGACUGCAAUAAAUGACACACACACGACACCUUAUAGCUCUGGGAAUUGUUUUUGUUCGACCUGUUUGACUUUGACUCUUCAUCCAUGAUUCUGCCCACUGUGUGUCUCAGUGUGGCUAUCCUUGUGCGGAUGGCAAGUUAACUUUGUUCCAAUUACUGAUGAAUACGGGUUGGAGAGAAUCCUAUUUGUUGCACUUAUGAUUCAGAGAGGCUCACUGCACAGAGUCCAUUAGUAGUGACUGGAUUGCUUUAGUUGAUAUCAUACCACAUGGAUUCAAUCACACAUCAUCUUUUGAGGCUGAGAUAAAGUGAAGUACAGAGAUGAAGCAUAACUCUUCAGUCGAUCUGUCCAGAGUUUGGCUGUGUUUGCGUACUAAUGUGAUUUUUCUUAUAUGGCUAGACCUCCAGGCAAGUGUCUGAUGGGAGCUGUCUGGCCCAAAAGGCUGGCCUAGAAAUGCCAUGUAUUCAACUCCAACUACCUCAAAUUGAUUCUGGAUGACACAAAAGCAGCACACAACUGGCGAGAGAGGAAAUGACUUUGCGUUAUCGGCAAACUGAAUGGAUGUUUUGAUGGGAUCAGUUCCAUAUCUCACACUUGUAUUGUUAUCCACAUGAAACUGACAUUACCCUUGUUAUUUGGGGACUGCUGUUUAUAUUACCAGUACCAGUGGGCAACACAGUAUCCUG